rnacentral:rRNA from 1 species
GACGAACGCUGGCGGCGUGCCUACUACAUGCCAGUAGAACGCAGUUGCGAACGGGUGAGUAACGCGUAGGUAACUGCCUCAUAGCGCGGGAUGACUAUUAGACACGAUCGCUAAUCCCGCAUACUGUGAGCUGGUCCUGCGUUUUAUUAGCUAGUUGGUGAGGUAAAGGCUCACCAAGGCGACGCUACAUAGCCGACCUGAGAGGGGGGUCGGCGAAACUGUGACGGAGACACGGCCCAGACUCCGACGGGAGGAAGCAGUAAGGAUUCUUCGGCGCUGGAAGGAAGUGUGAGCGAGCAAUGCGGCGUGAGUGAAGAAGGUUGUCGGAUGGUAAAGCGCUGGUGUUAAAGAAGCGGUAACUAACCAGAAGGGGACGGCUAACUAGGUGCCAGCAGCCGCGGUAAUUC